UACGGAGGGGGCUAGCGUUGUUCGGAAUUACUGGGCGUAAAGCGCACGUAGGCGGCACGGCAAGUCAGAGGUGAAAUCCCCAGGCUCAACCUGGGAAUUGCCUUUGAUACUGCCGCGCUAGAGGCCGGGAGAGGGUAGUGGAAUUCCCAGUGUAGAGGUGAAAUUCGUAGAUAUUGGGAAGAACACCGGUGGCGAAGGCGGCUACCUGGACCGGUUCUGACGCUGAGGUGCGAAAGCGUGGGGAGCAAACAGG
rnacentral:misc_RNA from 1 species